CGUAGACUCUUCUGGGAAUGGUGAUAUCAGUUCAGUGCCAUUGGGUCCUAAGUCUUGGAGGGUGAAUGAAUGGCAGGAGGCACCACUGGGCAGUAAAGGACAUGAAAGGUCGUUGUGGUUGACAUGCUGACGAGAAGAAAAAGAAGUUUCACAGUCAAAUGAUGUGAUUCCAGUUACAAGGAUCCACUUAAGCCAGCUUUUGAUGUCCUGCCUGCUCCCAGGCUAUUGGUUCAGGAAAUGCUGUGUGGUCUAUUCCCAUGAGAUGAAGAAGCUAAGGCUUGGAGAAGUUAAGUCACAUACAUGAUUGUGAUCCCGUGGUAGUAUAAUAGGCAACAGAACAAACUCUUGACCACAGAUCUGUAAGAUCAUCCUCCUAGCAUCAAGCCUGCAUCUAAUCCUGUUCUAUCAACCACAAAAGCUCUGGGGUGAGCAGGGUUGGGGUGCUGAGCCCACAACCACAUGAGAUGAAGAUUCUGAAGGAUAGGACUUGCUCAGGACCUUUCAGCAAGCAAACCGCAGACAAGGCUCAAAGAUCUCUCUGACCCCUGUGUGGACAACAGAUCAGAAGAAGCAGAGAGCCUGGCUGGGAGGCGAAUGCAAGGUGACUUGGUUGUGAUUGUGAAGACAGAUGGACAGACCAUGUUUUGAAGGUGAAGUCCCCAGCACAUGCUGAUGGAUUGCGUGUGAUGGCUGAAGGCAGAGAAAUCAAAGAUGGAAUCUGAGGUUUCUUUUCAGUUUAAACAAUCCACAGUUGACAAUGCCAUGUGUUGAGGAGGAACCGAAAUAAUGUACGUAAAAGCCGUCCUGA